AGUGAACGCUGGCGGUAGGCCUAACACAUGCAAGUCGAACGGCAGCACAGUAAGAGCUUGCUCUUACGGGUGGCGAGUGGCGGACGGGUGAGGAAUACAUCGGAAUCUACUUUUUCGUGGGGGAUAACGUAGGGAAACUUACGCUAAUACCGCAUACGACCUACGGGUGAAAGUAGGGGAUCUUCGGACCUUGCGCGAUUGAAUGAGCCGAUGUCGGAUUAGCUAGUUGGCGGGGUAAAGGCCCACCAAGGCGACGAUCCGUAGCUGGUCUGAGAGGAUGAUCAGCCACACUGGAACUGAGACACGGUCCAGACUCCUACGGGAGGCAGCAGUGGGGAAUAUUGGACAAAAGGCGCAAGCCUGAUCCAGCCAUACCGCGUGGGUGAAGAAGGCCUUCGGGUUGUAAAGCCCUUUUGUUGGGAAAGAAAAGCAGCAGGUUAAUACCCCGCUGUUCUGACGGUACCCAAAGAAUAAGCACCGGCUAACUUCGUG
rnacentral:rRNA from 1 species